rnacentral:rRNA from 1 species
UACGGAGGGUGCGAGCGUUGUCCGGAAUCACUGGGCGUAAAGGGCGCGUAGGCGGCAUACCAAGCGUGUGGUGAAAGCCCGGGGCUCAACCCCGGGUCGGCCGUGCGGACUGGCGUGCUCGAGCACUGUAGGGGCGGGUGGAAUUCCGGGUGUAGCGGUGGAAUGCGUAGAGAUCCGGAAGAACACCGGUGGCGAAGGCGGGUCUCUGGGCAGUAACUGACGCUGAGGAGCGAAAGCGUGGGGAGCGAACAGG